rnacentral:tRNA from 1 species
GCCUGGGUGGCUCAGUCGGUUGAGCAUCCAACUCCUGAUUUCGGCUUGGGUCAUGAUCUCCUGGUUUGAGGGUUCGAGCCCCACAUCAGGCU